GAUGAGGAGAAGCUAAGAGGCCAUUUAACAGCCUUAUUGGAUGGUUCGUUGAGUCGCAAGGACUUCGGGAAGAGUUUACAGGCUGAUAAGAAACGUGCAAAGGAGGCAGCGACAGAUGAGGUUGUUACACAGUUGAGACGUAGGCUAGAGCUUUGUGAAGAAGAGAAGCAGAUGUUGGAGAGAAAAAACAAAGAAUUAGAGGAGAAGCUGG
rnacentral:lncRNA from 1 species